rnacentral:misc_RNA from 1 species
GAUGAAGAACGUAGCGAAAUGCGAUAAGUAAUGCGAAUUGCAGAAUCCGUGAAUCAUCGAAUCUUUGAACGCACAUUGCGCCCGCCAGUAUUCUGGCGGGCAUGCCUGUUCGAGCGUCAUUUCAACCAUCAAGCCCCCGGCUUGUGUUGGGGACCUGCGGCUGCCGCAGGCCCUGAAAACCAGUGGCGGGCUCGCUAGUCACUCCGAGCGUAGUAAUACAUCUCGCUCAGGGCGUGCUGCGGGUUCCGGCCGUUAAAAAGCCUUAUUUACCCAAGGUUGACCUCGGAUCAGGUAGGAAGACCCGCUGAACUUAAGCAUAUCAAUAAGCGGAGGA